AUGUCCUCUUCUUCGUGGCAUCCAGUUCAAGAAGGGUCAACCGCGAGCUGCAUCGACAUCGAGUCGAGCGUUCCUCUUCUUCGUCGGGCCUGCACCAUCUCGGGGUGCAGCCGUGCAGCACCUGCUGCUGUGGAGGACGGAUGGCGCGGUGCUGGUAGAGCUGCUCCGGGCCUGCCCAGUCGAGCUCAACCACUAAUUGUUCAACCAAGCGCUGCACCACCACUUCCUCUACACUCGCUACCAGUGGCUUGGUCUCUUGACUCUUGUAGAUGCCCAGUGUCUGGCGAGGCCGCAGGGGGCGAGCCGAACGAUCCGGAGCAGCGGGCGAAACCGCGGAAGGCGGACCGUUCAGUUCUGCGUACAUUUUUGAAGAUGGAGGUGGAUUAUAAUGCUUUGGUGAUAAUAACACCAACCUUACAGCAAUAUCAUUUAUGA
rnacentral:rRNA from 1 species